AGAGUUUGAUCCUGGCUCAGGACGAACGCUGGCGGCGUGCUUAACACAUGCAAGUCGAACGGAAAGGCCCUUCGGGGUACUCGAGUGGCGAACGGGUGAGUAACACGUGGGUGAUCUGCCCUGUACUCUGGGAUAAGCCUGGGAAACUGGGUCUAAUACCGGAUAGGACCGCAUGCUUCAUGGUGUGUGGUGCAAAGCUUUUGCGGUGUGGGAUGAGCCCGCGGCCUAUCAGCUUGUUGGUGGGGUAAUGGCCUACCAAGGCGACGACGGGUAGCCGGCCUGAGAGGGUGACCGGCCACACUGGGACUGAGAUACGGCCCAGACUCCUACGGGAGGCAGCAGUGGGGAAUAUUGCACAAUGGGCGCAAGCCUGAUGCAGCGACGCCGCGUGAGGGAUGACGGCCUUCGGGUUGUAAACCUCUUUCAGUAGGGACGAAGCGAAAGUGACGGUACCUACAGAAGAAGGACCGGCCAACUACGUGCCAGCAGCCGCGGUAAUACGUAGGGUCCGAGCGUUGUCCGGAAUUACUGGGCGUAAAGAGCUCGUAGGUGGUUUGUCGCGUUGUUCGUGAAAACUCACAGCUUAACUGUGGGCGUGCGGGUGAUACGGGCAGACUAGAGUACUGCAGGGGAGACUGGAAUUCCUGGUGUAGCGGUGGAAUGCGCAGAUAUCAGGAGGAACACCGGUGGCGAAGGCGGGUCUCUGGGCAGUAACUGACGCUGAGGAGCGAAAGCGUGGGUAGCGAACAGGAUUAGAUACCCUGGUAGUCCAA
rnacentral:rRNA from 1 species